AUUGAACGCUGGCGGAAUGCUUUACACAUGCAAGUCGAACGGUAGAGGGGGCAACCCCUCGAGAGUGGCGAACGGGUGAGUAAUAUAUCGGAACGUGCCCAGUCGUGGGGGAUAACGCAGCGAAAGUUACGCUAAUACCGCAUACGAUCUAAGGAUGAAAGCGGGGGAUCGCAAGACCUCGCGCGAUUGGAGCGGCUGAUAUCAGAUUAGGUAGUUGGUGGGGUAAAGGCUCACCAAGCCAAAGAUCUGUAGCUGGUCUGAGAGGACGACCAGCCACACUGGAACCGAGACACGGUCCAGACUCCUACGGGAGGCAGCAGUGGGGAAUUUUGGACAAUGGACGCAGGUCUGAUCCAGCCAUUCCGCGUGCAGGAUGAAGGCCCUCGGGUUGUAAACUGCUUUUGUACGGAACGAAAAGGUCUCUCUUAAUACGGGGGACUCAUGACGGUACCGUAAGAAUAAGCACCGGCUAACUACGUGCCAGCCGCCGCAGUAAGAC
rnacentral:rRNA from 1 species